AUGUCCCACCAAACUACAGUGAAGAAACUUGCAAAGGCUUCUGAGCUCGUGGGUCGGUUUUCAUCUGGCUUGGUUGGCCUGCUUGGCGAUCUUGUGCAAGGGUUCGUCUCACUUGAUGAUGAAGGUUGCUCACAUGUGUCUCAUCGACUAGACACGGAUCUUAGGGCGAUUUCUUCUGCUACCCGGAAUAUGGCAAAGCCCUCUCCUGCACGCCGUACCCAUCAAUCAGAGAGCCCUGGCAAGAAUAAUAUGGAUGAGUCUGAUAUUGACCGUGAUACGGAUGAAAAUGACGGGGAUGAAUCUGAUGAUGAUGAUGAUGAUGACUUUACGGUUUUGUAUCAUGGUUCUUCUUCCCACGGCGGGGCAGAGAACGUGGCCUCUGGCAGCGGGGCAGCAGAUGUGGACUGCCCAGCUGUCAGAAAGGGACAUUCAUUUAUCUGUCAUGAAAGUGGUUGUACAAGAGCUUGGGAUCCGUGUGGCUGA
rnacentral:rRNA from 1 species